UACGGAGGGUGCAAGCGUUAAUCGGAAUUACUGGGCGUAAAGCGCACGCAGGCGGUUUGUUAAGUCAGAUGUGAAAUCCCCGAGCUUAACUUGGGAACUGCAUUUGAAACUGGCAAGCUAGAGUCUUGUAGAGGGGGGUAGAAUUCCAGGUGUAGCGGUGAAAUGCGUAGAGAUCUGGAGGAAUACCGGUGGCGAAGGCGGCCCCCUGGACAAAGACUGACGCUCAGGUGCAAAAGCGUGGGGAGCAAACAGG
rnacentral:rRNA from 1 species